AGGGAAUAUUGGACAAUGGGCGAAAGCCUGAUCCAGCAAUGCCGCGUGAGUGAUGAAGGCCUUAGGGUUGUAAAGCUCUUUUACCCGGGAUGAUAAUGACAGUACCGGGAGAAUAAGCCCCGGCUAACUCCGUGCCAGCAGCCGCGGUAAUACGGAGGGGGCUAGCGUUGUUCGGAAUUACUGGGCGUAAAGCGCACGUAGGUGGCUUUGUAAGUCAGGGGUGAAAGCCUGGAGCUCAACUCCAGAACUGCCUUUGAGACUGCAUCGCUUGAAUCCGGGAGAGGUGAGUGGAAUUCCGAGUGUAGAGGUGAAAUUCGUAGAUAUUCGGAAGAACACCAGUGGCGAAGGCGGCUCACUGGACCGGUAUUGACGCUGAGGUGCGAAAGCGUGGGGAGCAAAC
rnacentral:rRNA from 1 species